ensembl:snRNA U6 U6 spliceosomal RNA
GUGAUUGUUUCAACAGCACAUAUACUAAAAUUGGAACGAUACAGAGAAGAUUAGCAUGGCCCCUGUGCAAGGAUGACACACAAAUUCGUGAAGCAUUCCCCAUUUAA